CCGCAAGCGAACGAAGCGAGUAGUGAAGACUAUAAGAUGCACCAGUGUAUAAGAUGCACCAAGAUUUCAAAGAGGACUAAGGAUCUAAUCCACUGAUUAUCUUCACUGGACUCCUCUGAACUUGUCUGAAUCUUAUCUGAAUCUUUCUGAAAAUGCCAAAACUUGUCAGGCACAAUUAAUCAGAUCCAUACAUGAAGAAUUAAAUUAUUUUAUUGAUCAAGCCUAUAAGACAAGAAUCUUCUCAGACUGAUAAUUUGGGCAUUUUCCCACAGAUGCAAGAGUUGAUCCAUUGGUUGCAACAGGACUUCACUGAUCAACUAACUUCUCAACCAAGUCUGACAUGAUGGGCUGAAAGAAAGUGACUGGCUAAAGUCACCCAGUAGGACUAGAACUCACAGGCUUCUGGUUUCUAGACUGAAUUGGAUGUCUGUUUUCAGAUAUACUAUUACUAAGCCAUAAUUCCCCAUCUAUAACUGUGCACAUUCUGUUUCUGUUUCAUAAGGGGAAAACUUCCCAUUUGUGUUGGAUAAAAAUCGUGUUGUA